AUUGAACGCUGGCGGCGUGCUUAACACAUGCAAGUCGAUCGGUAACGCGGGGGCAACCCUGGCGACGAGAGGCGGACGGGUGAGGAACGCUUGGGAAUCUGCCUAUCAGCGGGGGACAACACGGGGAAACUCGUGCUAAUACCGCAUACGCCCUACGGAGGAAAGCCGGGGACCGCAAGGCCUGGCACUGAUAGAUGAGCCCAAGUCGGAUUAGCUAGUCGGCGGGGUAACGGCCCACCAAGGCGACGAUCCGUAGCUGGUCUGAGAGGACGAUCAGCCACACUGGGACGGAGACACGGCCCAGACUCCUACGGGAGGCAGCAGUGGGGAAUAUUGGACAAUGGGGGAAACCCUGAUCCAGCGACGCCGCGUGGGUGAAGAAGGCCUGCGGGUUGUAAAGCCCUUUCGGUAGGGACGAAAGCUCUCGACCUAACACGUCGGGAGGUUGACUUAACCUACAAAAGAAGCACCGGCUAACUCUGUGCCAGCCGCCGCCGUAAUAC
rnacentral:rRNA from 1 species